rnacentral:rRNA from 1 species
GUCAACUAGUUGUUCGUGUCUUUAAGACGUGAGUAACGCAGCUAACGCACUAAGUUGACCGCCUGGGGAGUACGGCCGCAAGGUUAAAACUCAAAUGAAUUGACGGGGGCCCGCACAAGCGGUGGAGCAUGUGGUUUAAUUCGAUGCAACGCGAAGAACCUUACCAUCCCUUGACAUCCAGAGAAUUUUCUAGAGAUAGAUUAGUGCCUUCGGGAACUCUGAGACAGGUGCUGCAUGGCUGUCGUCAGCUCGUGUUGUGAGAUGUUGGGUUAAGUCCCGCAACGAGCGCAACCCUUAUCCUUAGUUGCCAGCACUAAGGUGGGAACUCUAGGGAGACUGCCGGUGAUAAACCGGAGGAAGGUGGGGACGACGUCAAGUCAUCAUGGCCCUUACGGGAUGGGCUACACACGUGCUACAAUGGCGCACACAAAGGGCAGCAAGCUAGCGAUAGCAAGCGAAUCUCAAAAAGUGCGUCGUAGUCCGGAUUGGAGUCUGCAACUCGACUCCAUGAAGUCGGAAUCGCUAGUAAUCGUGGAUCAGAAUGCCACGGUGAAUACGUUCCCGGGCCUUGUACACACCGCCCGUCACACCAUGGGAGUGGGCUGCACCAGAAGUAGAUAGCUUAACCUUCGGGAGGGCGUUUACCACGGUGUGGUUCAUGACUGGGGUG